GAUGAACGCUGGCGGCGUGCCUAAUACAUGCAAGUCGAGCGAACAGAUGAGGAGCUUGCUCCUCUCACGUUACCGGCGGACGGGUGAGUAACACGUGGAUAACCUACCUAUAAGACUGGGAUAACUUCGGGAAACCGGAGCUCAUACCGGAUAAUAUAUUUAACCGCAUGGUUCAAUAGUGUAAGACGGUUUUGCUGUCACUUCUACAUGGCUCCGCGCCGCAUUAGCUAGUUGGUAAGGUAACGGCUUACGAAGGCGACGAUGCGUAGCCGAACUGAGAAGGGGAUCGGCGACACUGGGACUGGAACACGAUCCAGACUCCGACGGGAGGCAGCAGUAGGGAAUCUUCCGCGAUGGGCGAAAGCCUGACGGAGCAACGCCGCGUGAGUGAUGAAGGUCUGCGGAUCGGAAAACUCUGUUAUGAGUGAAGAACAAAUGUGUAAGUAACUAUGCACGUCGUGACGGUACCUAGUCAGAAAGCCACGGCUAACUACGUG
rnacentral:rRNA from 1 species